UGGGGAAUAUUGGACAAUGGGCGCAAGCCUGAUCCAGCCAUGCCGCGUGAGUGACGAAGGCCUUAGGGUUGUAAAGCUCUUUUGGCGGGGAAGAUAAUGACGGUACCCGCAGAAUAAGCUCCGGCUAACUUCGUGCCAGCAGCCGCGGUAAUACGAAGGGAGCUAGCGUUGUUCGGAAUCACUGGGCGUAAAGCGCACGUAGGUGGGCAGUUAAGUCAGGGGUGAAAGCCCGAGGCUCAACCUCGGAAUUGCCUCUGAUACUGGCUGUCUAGAGUUCGAGAGAGGUGAGUGGAAUUCCUAGUGUAGAGGUGAAAUUCGUAGAUAUAGGAAGGAACACCAGUGGCGAAGGCGGCAUCCUGGACCGAGAUCGACGCUGAGGCGCGAAAGCUAGGGGAGCAAACGGGAUUAGAUACCCCAGUAGUCCCUGAGCGGGCUGGCAAGGCGCAU
rnacentral:rRNA from 1 species